CUACGGGUCGCUGCAGUAAGGAAUCUUCCGCAAUGGGCGAAAGCCUGACGGAGCGACACCGCGUGGUGGAUGAAGGCCUAUGGGUCGUAAACACCUUUUCUAUGGGAAGAAGAUCUGACGGUACCAUAGGAAUAAGGACCGGCUAAUUACGUGCCAGCAGCCGCGGUAAUACGUAAGGUCCAAGCGUUAUCCGGAAUUAUUGGGCGUAAAGCGUCCGCAGGUGGUUGUGAAAGUCAGUUAUUAAAUACCGGUGCUCAACAUCGGUGCUGUAAUUGAAACUUCAUAGCUAGAGGAUGGUAGAGGUAUAUGGAAUUGUGCAAGUAGGGGUAAAAUCCGUAGAUAUGCACAGGAACACCAAAAGCGAAGGCAGUAUACUGGACCAUUCCUGACACUCAUGGACGAAAGCGUGGGGAGCAAAAGGGAUUAGAUACCCGGGUAGUC
rnacentral:rRNA from 1 species